rnacentral:rRNA from 1 species
CCUACGGGAGGCUGCAGUGGGGAAUUUUGGACAAUGGGCGAAAGCCUGAUCCAGCAAUGCCGCGUGUGUGAAGAAGGCCUUCGGGUUGUAAAGCACUUUUGUCCGGAAAGAAAUCCUUGGCUCUAAUACAGUCGGGGGAUGACGGUACCGGAAGAAUAAGCACCGGCUAACUACGUGCCAGCAGCCGCGGUAAUACGUAGGGUGCGAGCGUUAAUCGGAAUUACUGGGCGUAAAGCGUGCGCAGGCGGUUUGCAUGAACGACUGGAAGAGCCCCGGACGAGACCGGGGAGGUGAUGUUGUGAGUGGGAGGCUAGAUUAUGGGAGGGGGGGGUAAAAGUCGCCGGGUAGCAGUGAAAGGCGUAGGGAUGGGGUGAAAUACCGGUGUCGAGGGCAGCCCCAGGGGCCAUUACUGACGCUGAUGCACGAAAGCGGGGGGAGCAAACAGGAUUAGAUACCCCUGUAGUC